rnacentral:rRNA from 1 species
AAACUGGGAUUAGAUUCGCCAGGUAUGCUCAGUCGUAACCCUUUAACUACACCCUCUCUCGCCCGGGAACUACGAGCCAAGCUUAAAACCCAAAGGACUUGACGGUACCCCACAUCCACCUAGAGGAGCCUGUCCUAUAAUCGAUAACCCACGUUUAACCUCACCAUUUUUAGCUUACUCAGCCUGUAUACCUCCGUCGUCAGCUUACCACGUGAGCGUUAGUGAGCUUAAUGUUAUUCAACCACACGUCAGGUCAAGGUGCAACUUAUAAAAUGGGAAGAGAUGGGCUACACUUUCUAACUUAGAACACACGAAAGAUUACUAAUGAAAAUUUAUCAGAAGGCGGAUUUAGCAGUAAACAGAAAUCAAAAAGUUCCGUUUAAUUUGGCACUGGGGUGUGUACACACCGCCCGUCACCCUCC